UAGUUUUGUCCUAAGUCAAACUUCUCUAACUUUGACCAUGUUUUUCAAAAAAUACAUUAACAUCUACAAGUACAAAUAAAUGUGCUAUCAAGACAUAUUUCUUGGAGAAUCUAAUGAAACAUAUUUGACGUUGAAACUAUUGGUGCAUUUUCUAUAAACUUGGUCAAAGUUAGAGAAGUUUGACUGACAAAGCUAA
rfam:Sorghum bicolor cultivar BTx623 chromosome 1, whole genome shotgun sequence.